AAAAUUUUGAGGAAAAAUGACGAAAACGCCCCUAUGAGGUGAGAUGAAAAAAUGGUACUAAAGCCUUGCGGGGUUCCAGUUAGCACUCCGAAUAACGAAUGUCUACCGGGACGUCACGGCAGUUGUCACUAGCUCGAUAGGAGUACUAGGUCGUGACACGAUCUCAUAGAUUGAAGUAUAUGGGAUACUUGAAGAUAACAUGUUGGUGUUUGUUAAAGAACAAGUUUACUGAACAUGACCCACUAUGAGAACUCCAUUUGGUGUUUCAUUCAAGUGCCAAUAGAAUAUGUUCUCAUGUGAUAGUCGUGCAACUAGUACUCAGACUUGAGACACCAAGUCAUUAUGUAUGAGGAAUGACAUACUUUAAUUUCACCUCUAUGGAUCUAAAAGAGACCAAAUGCCUAAACAUGGUGUUUUUGGUGGAUGAGUGCUUAGAAAAGGAUUUAUCACCUCAAGUGAUAUGAAAGGAUGUAUCUCUGUUGUUCUCAAUUGUAGAUUAACUUGUAAAGUCUCUGGCCAAAGUAAGAUGAAUUUGAGGAAAGUUAGUUUCUUAGUCA